GUCGGGCGAGGCGAUGGAUCCCGCCGGGGUCGUCCGAUCGGACGACCCGAACCGCCGGCCGGCUGAUGGUUCCUUCUCACGA
rnacentral:ncRNA from 1 species